AGUUCGACGGGGUCCACGGCGCGGGUCACCACCAGGUAGUCGCGCAGCGCAGUGCUGUGCCGGGCCUC
rnacentral:sRNA from 1 species